rnacentral:rRNA from 1 species
CACUUUCNCCCACACCNCCCUUCCCUUAUGUUUGGAUCAUGGGCUCAGAACGAACGCUGGCCGGCACUGCCUAUUCCUGACAAGCUCGAAGACGGACCGNAAGGGAGCUUGCUCCUUUACGUUAGACGGCGGAACGGGUGAGUAACACGUGGGCAACCUGCCCUGCAGCACUGGGNAUAACUUCGGGAAACCGGAGCUAAUACNGGAUAACACCGAAAACCGCAUGGNUUUUCGGUUGAAAGGCGGCUUUUAGCUGUCACUGCAAGAUGGGCCCGCGGCGCAUUAGCUAGUUGGUGAGGUAACGGCUCACCAAGGCGACGAUGCGUAGCCGACCUGAGAGGGUGACCGGCCACACUGGGGACUGAGANACGGCCCAGACUCCUACGGGAGGCAGCAGUAGGGAAUCUUCCGCAAUGGACGAAAGUCUGACGGAGCAACGCCGCGUGAGCGAANAAGGUCUUCGGAUCGUAAAGCUCUGUUGUCAGGGAAGAACAUGUACCGUUCGAACAGGGCGGUACCUUGACGGUACCUGAUGAGGAAGCCNCGGGCUAACUACGUGGCCAGCCAGCCGCGGUAAUACGUACGUGGCAAGCGUUGUCCAGGAAAUUAUUGGGCGUAANCCGCGCGCAAGCGNUUCCUAAAGUCGGAAGUGAAAACUUCGCGGCUNGACCGCGAAGCGGCCAUUUGUAAACUGGGGNCACUUUGACCUGCA